rnacentral:sRNA from 1 species
AUUUUAACUAAAAUAUAAGCCUACCUGCGGUAUACUGCAAGUCAAUUUAAUAUUUUAUAUACGAAAUCAAUUAAAUCUUAAUCACAUAAAAAUUAGCACAAAAAAAAGUAUUCAACAAUUAAAAAAUUAUCAAAUCUCUGUGUUAUAUAAGUUUUGAUACUAUAUUCGAAUAAUGUAAUAUACCUUUUCAAUUUGUAUUCUUUAACUAAUUUAAGCUAACUAAUAUAUUUGCUAAUUUUAUACCUAUCAAAACCGACUAUCGUUUCUUAUCUCUAUAGUAUUUUUGCAAGACUUUUUUGGUGGAUUUGGAUAAAAGUGUAUUCGGGUCAUAUGAUACAUUCCCCUAUUAAAUAAAUAUGGUGCACUCCUAUGUUAUUAGCUAAAAUGUUUAGAAUAUAAUUCAGAGUCAUAUCAUUAAUAAAAUUAAUAUU